rnacentral:rRNA from 1 species
GAUGAACGCUGGCGGCGUGCCUAAUACAUGCAAGUCGAGCGAACAGAUAAGGAGCUUGCUCCUUUGAAGUUAGCGGCGGACGGGUGAGUAACACGUGGGUAACCUACCUAUAAGACUGGGAUAACUUCGGGAAACCGGAGCUAAUACCGGAUAACAUCUAGAACCGCAUGGUUCUAAAGUGAAAGAUGGUUUUGCUAUCACUUAUAGAUGGACCCGCGCCGUAUUAGCUAGUUGGUAAGGUAACGGCUUACCAAGGCGACGAUACGUAGCCGACCUGAGAGGGUGAUCGGCCACACUGGAACUGAGACACGGUCCAGACUCCUACGGGAGGCAGCAGUAGGGAAUCUUCCGCAAUGGGCGAAAGCCUGACGGAGCAACGCCGCGUGAGUGAUGAAGGGUUUCGGCUCGUAAAACUCUGUUAUUAGGGAAGAACAAAUGUGUAAGUAACUGUGCACAUCUUGACGGUACCUAAUCAGAAAGCCACGGCUAACUACGUGCCAGCAGCCGCGGUAAUACGUAGGUGGCAAGCGUUAUCCGGAAUUAUUGGGCGUAAAGCGCGCGUAGGCGGUUUCUUAAGUCUGAUGUGAAAGCCCACGGCUCAACCGUGGAGGGUCAUUGGAAACUGGGAAACUUGAGUGCAGAAGAGGAAAGUGGAAUUCCAUGUGUAGCGGUGAAAUGCGCAGAGAUAUGGAGGAACACCAGUGGCGAAGGCGACUUUCUGGUCUGUAACUGACGCUGAUGUGCGAAAGCGUGGGGAUCAAACAGGAUUAGAUACCCUGGUAGUCCACGCCGUAAACGAUGAGUGCUAAGUGUUAGGGGGUUUCCGCCCCUUAGUGCUGCAGCUAACGCAUUAAGCACUCCGCCUGGGGAGUACGACCGCAAGGUUGAAACUCAAAGGAAUUGACGGGGACCCGCACAAGCGGUGGAGCAUGUGGUUUAAUUCGAAGCAACGCGAAGAACCUUACCAAAUCUUGACAUCCUUUGAAAACUCUAGAGAUAGAGCCUUCCCCUUCGGGGGACAAAGUGACAGGUGGUGCAUGGUUGUCGUCAGCUCGUGUCGUGAGAUGUUGGGUUAAGUCCCGCAACGAGCGCAACCCUUAAGCUUAGUUGCCAUCAUUAAGUUGGGCACUCUAGGUUGACUGCCGGUGACAAACCGGAGGAAGGUGGGGAUGACGUCAAAUCAUCAUGCCCCUUAUGAUUUGGGCUACACACGUGCUACAAUGGACAAUACAAAGGGCAGCUAAACCGCGAGGUCAUGCAAAUCCCAUAAAGUUGUUCUCAGUUCGGAUUGUAGUCUGCAACUCGACUACAUGAAGCUGGAAUCGCUAGUAAUCGUAGAUCAGCAUGCUAUGGUGAAUACGUUCCCGGGCCU